rnacentral:rRNA from 1 species
GAUGAACGCUGGCGGCGUGCCUAAUACAUGCAAGUCGAGCGAACAGACGAGGAGCUUGCUCCUCUGACGUUAGCGGCGGACGGGUGAGUAACACGUGGAUAACCUACCUAUAAGACUGGGAUAACUUCGGGGAACCGGAGCUAAAACCGGAUAAUAUAUUGAACCGCAUGGUUCAAUAGUGAAAGACGGUUUUGCUGUCACUUAUAGAUGGAUCCGCGCCGCAUUAGCUAGUUGGUAAGGUAACGGCUUACCAAGGCAACGAUGCGUAGCCGACCUGAGAGGGUGAUCGGCCACACUGGAACUGAGUCACGGUCCAGACUCCUACGGGAGGCAGCAGUAGGGAAUCUUCCGCAAUGGGCGAAAGCCUGACGGAGCAACGCCGCGUGAGUGAUGAAGGUCUUCGGAUCGUAAAACUCUGUUAUUAGGGAAGAACAAAUGUGUAAGUAACUAUGCACGUCUUGACGGUACCUAAUCAGAAAGCCACGGCUAACUACGUG